CCAUGGCAGCAGGACUGCAGGGUCGCCGUCGUGCCAUCGCGCGGGUCCACGGUGGUCGCCGACGCCAAGUUGGCGGAUCCUCGCGGACGCAGCGCCCCGCCGCGGUGCUCUUCCAGUUCUUCCAAGUCCCCGAUGAGCUUCAGUGGAGAAGCAGAGCGCAACUUGAUCAUCGCCGAGGAAAUAAUAUGCUCCCUUAUUUAUCAUGAUCAGUGAUGAUUGAAUCACAGCGCCAUGCUUAAGUAAUCUUUCAAGGGUACAUGAUUGGAGCAAUCACAGAAGCCUGAGACUCUUGUUUUUUUUGGGGCUGCCUGAGACACUCUGAAAUGGACCAAAAGUGCGUCGUCAUUGAAGCCCAAAAUCUAACAGUAUAACCCUGAAGAUGGCCGUGCGGCCCAAAGUAUGCUCUUUGCCAACGAGGCCCAAAAAAGUGGGGCUUUGUGAUUGUUUGCAGGUAAAGUGGGCACGCCACUUAACCCGUUGCUUGGUGUUAUUGUUGAUCACGAGUUUGUUACGCCGAAUUUUUGGGGACCCUGCGAAGUACUAAUGAUUCCAUAUGUGGUUCAAGGCGUUCGAUCCGCAUUAAUCCAGAAUCAAGGGGUGCGCUACUAUACCUUUGGCAUAUAUGCAUGUAGAGAGAUCUUAUAAGCUGGUACAUCUCACUCGCGGCGAGCGAGAGCAGUGUGUUGCUCCAAGCCGCAUGAAAAAUGGACCACAACCAAUGUGGCCCAUUUAAUAAAGGUCCAGUUUUUUCUGUCAAAUAUGGAAAAUUAGCUUACUGAGGUAUAUCUAAUAAAUUUAAAUUAGUUAGUACUAAAAAGGAUUGAAGACGGUGUGGUAUAAAUAAUA